UCCCUGAUGGUACAGUGGUCAGGACUCCGCGCUCUCACUGCUGAGGACCCGGGUUCGAUUCCUGGUCAGGGAA